rnacentral:rRNA from 1 species
GAUGAACGCUGGCGGCGUGCCUAAUACAUGCAAGUCGAGCGAACGGACGAGAAGCUUGCUUCUCUGAUGUUAGCGGCGGACGGGUGAGUAACACGUGGAUAACCUACCUAUAAGACUGGGAUAACUUCGGGAAACCGGAGCUAAUACCGGAUAAUAUUUUGAACCGCAUGGUUCAAAAGUGAAAGACGGUCUUGCUGUCACUUAUAGAUGGAUCCGCGCUGCAUUAGCUAGUUGGUAAGGUAACGGCUUACCAAGGCAACGAUGCAUAGCCGACCUGAGAGGGUGAUCGGCCACACUGGAACUGAGACACGGUCCAGACUCCUACAGGAGGCAGCAGUAGGGAAUCUUCCGCAAUGGGCGAAAGCCUGACGGAGCAACGCCGCGUGAGUGAUGAAGGUCUUCGGAUCGUAAAACUCUGUUAUUAGGGAAGAACAUAUGUGUAAGUAACUGUGCACAUCUUGACGGUACCUAAUCAGAAAGCCACGGCUAACUACGUGCCAGCAGCCGCGGUAAUACGUAGGUGGCAAGCGUUAUCCGGAAUUAUUGGGCGUAAAGCGCGCGUAGGCGGUUUUUUAAGUCUGAUGUGAAAGCCCACGGCUCAACCGUGGAGGGUCAUUGGAAACUGGAAAACUUGAGUGCAGAAGAGGAAAGUGGAAUUCCAUGUGUAGCGGUGAAAUGCGCAGAGAUAUGGAGGAACACCAGUGGCGAAGGCGACUUUCUGGUCUGUAACUGACGCUGAUGUGCGAAAGCGUGGGGAUCAAACAGGAUUAGAUACCCUGGUAGUCCACGCCGUAAACGAUGAGUGCUAAGUGUUAGGGGGUUUCCGCCCCUUAGUGCUGCAGCUAACGCAUUAAGCACUCCGCCUGGGGAGUACGACCGCAAGGUUGAAACUCAAAGGAAUUGACGGGGACCCGCACAAGCGGUGGAGCAUGUGGUUUAAUUCGAAGCAACGCGAAGAACCUUACCAAAUCUUGACAUCCUUUGACAACUCUAGAGAUAGAGCCUUCCCCUUCGGGGGACAAAGUGACAGGUGGUGCAUGGUUGUCGUCAGCUCGUGUCGUGAGAUGUUGGGUUAAGUCCCGCAACGAGCGCAACCCUUAAGCUUAGUUGCCAUCAUUAAGUUGGGCACUCUAAGUUGACUGCCGGUGACAAACCGGAGGAAGGUGGGGAUGACGUCAAAUCAUCAUGCCCCUUAUGAUUUGGGCUACACACGUGCUACAAUGGACAAUACAAAGGGCAGCGAAACCGCGAGGUCAAGCAAAUCCCAUAAAGUUGUUCUCAGUUCGGAUUGUAGUCUGCAACUCGACUACAUGAAGCUGGAAUCGCUAGUAAUCGUAGAUCAGCAUGCUACGGUGAAUACGUUCCCGGGUCU